CUUUGUUUCUCCGGCGCCGGUCGAGCUGGCUGCUGGUCACAACAGCUCCUGUCCUCUUACUUCUAUUUAUCACUUUCUUCACCUACUCAAGUUUAUCUUUCUAGUGUUUUGUUAGUAGCAUUAGUGUACACAACCUGUACACAGCUUUUAUAUAGUUUUUCUAAGUGUGGCGCAGUACAAACGCUGUUUUAAAGCUACGAUGUGCGUCGGGGCCAGAGCGCGCAUCGUUUACACCGCGGAGCAGCUGAUCGCGCUGCGCAGCGCCGUAGUUCUGCCCAGAGACAGACACGAGAUCACCGCUGAGGUGCUGCUGUGUAAUAAUUGCUGUGUACGUCCCACCCUCCGCUAACGCUGACACAGCUUCUGAGACCCUGCUCUCAGUCACCAGCAGGCUGCAAACACAGCACCCACAGGCCCUCUUCCUGAUCUCUGGGGACUUUAACCAUGCACCUCCUUCAGCUGCUCUGCCUACAUACACCCAGUAUGUGACCUGCCCCACCAGAGUCAACAAAACCCCAGACUUAUUCUAUGCCAACACCAAAGAGGCCUACACUGCACCCUCCCUCCCACCGUUGGGCAGAGCUGACCACAACAUCCUGCAAACCUUUUGUCACCUCAUACCACUGGAUUACCAGCCCCCACAGCCCUUCACACCUUUACACAAAGCCCUCUACCCUCAGCCCUGACGACUGGUGACUCAUCCCAACAACACCGCCUCACUUCACACAACACUGAGACACUGCCUCAACCCCUAUCCUUCUCCAGCACCCAGGUGAGAAGUGAGCUCAGGAAGAUCAAGGCCAGGAAAGCAGCUGGACCAGACGGCAUCAGCUCCAGACUCCUAAAGUCCUGCGCAGGCGAACUGUGCAGAGUUAUGGAGCAUGUCUUCAACCUGAGCCUCAAGCUGAGGGUGGUACCACAGCUCUGCAAGACCUCCUGCGUGGUACCAGUGCCCAAGACACCACACGCUAAAGACCCCAGCAGCUUCAGACCAGCGGCUCUGACAUCACACCUGAUGAAGACAUUGGAGAGACUGGUCCUGGGUCACCUCCGCUCUGCAGUGGGAACCUACCUGGACCCGCUGCAGUUCGCCUACCGACACGGCAUAAGAGCAGACGACGCCGUCAUCUUCCUCCUACAUCGAGCUCUUUCUCACCUAGAGAAGCCCGGCAGCACUGUGAGGAUCAUGUUCUUUGACUUCUCCAGUGCCUUCAACACCAUCCAGCCGGUGCCUUGCAUUCUGCAAGGAGGAGGAGAUCCCCACUGCUUCCAGCUGCUUCUCAGCCAAUAUGAGAUCCAGUUUGGGCAGUACCGGGGACAGACCUUCAAGUGGCUCCUGAGUCACGACGUGGGCUACGCUGUGUCCCUGCUGGCCUCACACCAGAAGGAGCGGGAGAGUGGUGACACAUCCAGCUCACCACUUAUGGCCAACAAGGUGCUGUGGAGUACAACACAGAAAUAUCUCACUCAUCCUAGUACAGUAAAAGUAGAGCCAUCAUUAGAACUAUUAUACGGAUCCCAACUCACACAGCUCAAUCAGAGCAAUCAUCAAGAAAUUCCUAUUUCUGUCAUAAUACACAUAUUCUGUUCUCCCGCUACACAGGAUGCCCUCACCUCCUACAGCAAGCUGUUCCCAGAGGUGAUGUCAGCCGUGGAGGGAUGCCGUGCCACGGAGGGUUCCAAGUCUGUCCGGAGCCAAGACAAGAAGUUGGUGGAGUUCGGCCCCCACGGAGCCAUGACCUACGCCUCCAUGUACGAGGCCACGGGGAAAGAGGUUGAGACCUACGUGCAGUGGCUGAGGAAGAAGAAGUGCAUCCCAGGCAGCAACCUGCAUGCUUUAAAGACCUACAUACUGGGCCGGGACCAGGAGAAGAACCAGCAUCCCUCCCAGCAGCCCCAGUGCCCACCAUCUGACAGUAGGUGUUUCUUUGUCUUUUCUGUGUGAAACAGCUGCUAACGAGCCCUCAGACGAGAUGCUCCUGGCUGCUGCCUUGGAGGUGGAGAGUCAGCGUGAGUUCACUCACACGCACAAGCACACAUGCAAUG
ensembl:lncRNA